rnacentral:rRNA from 1 species
UACGUAGGGCGCGAGCGUUGUCCGGAUUUAUUGGGCGUAAAGAGCUCGUAGGCGGCUUGUUGCGUCGACUGUGAAAAACCUGCGGCUCAACCGUGUGGUCUGCAGUCGAUACGGGCAGGCUGGAGUUCGGUAGGGGAGGACUGGAAUUCCUGGUGUAGCGGUGAAAUGCGCAGAUAUCAGGAGGAACACCGGUGGCGAAGGCGGGUCUCUGGGCCGAUAUUGACGCUGAGGAGCGAAAGCGUGGGGAGCGAACAGG